rnacentral:lncRNA from 1 species
GCAAGCAGGACUGAGAACUUGCGCCAGACUACCCUAGCCUUCCAGUUGUGAAAAUAAGUAGCGUUUUCCUUCUUCCCCUGCCUGUGGAGUCUGCACACCAGAUUCACGCCCUCCCACAAGUUCUGGCCAGGAGACUUCUCUAUCGGUUCAAAUUGUUAACAACGUUCAGCUGGAGGUUUCUUUCUCCCCGGUUCAAAUUGUUAACAACGUUCAGCUGGAGGUUUCUUUCUCCCCGUGGCCUUUUCCCAGUGCCUCUGGCAGCCCUCCUCGAGGAUCCCUGUGAGGCAAGGGAGAAAUGGCUUGGUAGGGGACCCAGCGAGCCCACAGGGAUUUUCCUGCUGCUUCCUCUACCCCUCUAUUUCACUCUGCUCUCUAGUUCGACUCAACUCCAGCCCUACGGCAUCAGGGUGGCACUACUGCAGUUGCAAUGGUGAAAUGGUUGUGGGUAGUCUCUGAGAUUUCCUCCUCACAGAACUGCAGAGCCACC